UACGUAGGGGGCAAGCGUUGCCCGGAUUUAUUGGGCGUAAAGAGCGUGUAGGCGGUUUGGUAGGUCCGCUGUGAAAACUCGAGGCUCAACCUCGAGACGCCGGUGGAAACCAUCAGACUAGAGUCCGGAAGAGGAGAGUGGAAUUCCUGGUGUAGCGGUGAAAUGCGCAGAUAUCAGGAAGAACACCCGUGGCUAAGGCGGCUACCUGGACAAUUGCUGACGCUCAGGCACGAAAGCGUGGGGAGCAAAAGGG
rnacentral:rRNA from 1 species